rnacentral:lncRNA from 1 species
GCGGGGAGAAAGAGCAGGGGGACGUCGGGCCUGCGCCUGGCACCGCCGCUACCUGGAUUCGCGGGCCCCUCACACACUCACCUGCCGGUAUUCUAAUCACAGAAUUACUGGAGCAUCAAGAAGUGCCUGCAUGCUUGGAAGGGCUUCCAGGCAGAUGAACACACCUCAGCACCGGGUGGCAUUUUCCCAGGGUGCAACCCGGACCGGCUCUGGGUCACACUGACAAGGACAACAGGGUUAACAAUUUCCAGAGACAGCCCGUACAUAGAAGGAAUGUUUACUGAAAAAAAUGAAGAGGGGUCAGGGCAAGGCGAGGAGCAAGAAGCACCCCCAAGGAAACAGAGAAGACCAGUACAACUGUACCUCUUUGCCAGCUGCACCAUCCGUACCAGUCUCCUGGGGUGGAAGUGUCCAGCACAGAGACUGCCACACUGCAAGACGAAGGGGCUGGACACACGGAAGAGAGAGGCGGAACCCUGCACCCCCUCAACCUCAGCCCUACUGAGUCUCCAAUGGGGCCACGCUUCUGAGUGCACCUCCCCGUGUCAUCUGUAAUGUGAGGGGGAACCAGGCUUGAUAUGGCAUUCCCAAUCCAGGGC